rnacentral:rRNA from 1 species
UACCAGCACCCCGAGUGGUCGGGACGAUUAUUGGGCCUAAAGCAUCCGUAGCCGGUCCUACAAGUCUUCCGUUAAAUCCACCUGCUUAACAGAUGGGCUGCGGAAGAUACUAUAAGGCUAGGAGGCGGGAGAGGCAAGCGGUACUCAGUGGGUAGGGGUAAAAUCCUCUGAUCCAUUGAAGACCACCAGUGGCGAAGGCGGCUUGCCAGAACGCGCUCGACGGUGAGGGAUGAAAGCUGGGGAGCAAACCGG